CAAUCGGGUGGCAGCGAGCCUCAGGAAGCUCGGGGCGCCCCCAUUGA
rfam:Hepatitis C virus genotype 6 isolate ZS202 polyprotein gene, complete cds